AGUAAGUGGUGUAGGGAAGCAGUCUGGUUGUGGCUGAUGAAGGAAAACUGGUUGCUGGAAUCAUUAAACAGACGGAAGAAAAGGAAGAAGGAAGAGAGUCUUGGCUACCCUGAAAGAAGGAUUCUGGCUGUAGGGUUUCCCGGGAUCACCAUCUUCAUUUUCCUCAGUGGGUCGGCAUAUCGUUGCAGUGAGGUCCAUUGGCGGUUCAGUACGUGGGACAGUGGGCGUUGGGACGAAUGGGCAGCUGAGCGGUUUGGGAACUAACUUUAAUCGGACUUCCAAUACUUUUGUGUGGCAGCUAAGCACGAACAUUAUUUAUAUAUAUAUAUAUAUUUUUAGAGACUUUUACCAACAGGAGGGGAUUACCUCAGUUUGUAUUUUUUUUUAAGGUUCUCCCUCAUUUAUAACUGUUUCUAUUUGUAUGUGGUUUUUAAAGAGCAUUUUUUUCCCCUGUUGAGAAACAAUAAAAAUUUGUUUUAACCUACCUGGGUUUCCCAUAGUGUGUGUGUGUGUGUGUGUUGGACCCCCGGGGAUCAAAAUAACCUGUUCCGGGAAGGCUAUUACUACUCGAUCAUCAAGGUCCUUGCCCUUUUCGAACUCAAGGUGGCGUAGUUGGUAUUAUUCAAAUUAUUUAUUUACUUUUGGUUACCCCUGGUCACCCCACCCGUGACAUAGUUUUGAUACAGCAACACCACACUGUCCCUCCUUUAAAGAACCAGUUGUACUGCAAAGGAGAUUAUCUUAAGCUGAAACAAAGAAUUAUUUUAGACCUGCAGAGAACGUCCACUCUCCAACUUUCCUUACAGGGGAGAGUAUCAACAAUUAAAAUGAACAUUCUUACCCUGCAUACAUUUUCAGUUUUUUAUUACACUCAUGGAUAACUCCUAGCCCUGCACCACAACAGAUUUGGAUGGGUAUGUUUAGGGAUACUGUCCAAUUAGAACACUCCACAGCUCGUAUAAAUCAAGCCCGUGCUGCAACACUUCAGGCUUGGAGUCUCUACCACUCUCGCCAAUCUCUUAAUGGCAUAAUCAUCCUCUCUCUAUUCAUUACUAAAUCCUUGUCCUUCCUUUUUCUGAGCCCUUAUUUACCUGAAAGCUCUGGUGUAUUGAAGUAUAUAUAGUUCUAUUUCUGAUUUUGUUUCUCUGUGUGUUUGUGAUUUUGUGUUUGUUAUAUGCUUUUUAAAAAAAAUAAAAACAAUUGAACAAAAAAAAAAAGAACCAUUUGUCCAGAAUUGACCUAAGCUAGACAGGUCACGCUAUACCAGCGGUCCUCGUUAAAAAUAUGUGGAGGGCCACAUUAGUAUCAACAUAAUCUUUGGGGCCCACAUGUCAAUAUUUUAAUCAAUCGUUUCUCACAAAUGUGUUGUCUCACAGAUGCUGCUUAGUGGUUUUCUAAAAAUUGUAACAACACUUUUCUAUUACAAACGAUCUUAGCCAAAACAGUUUCUUCAGCAUUAUGAAGGCCACAAAUGCUUCAGAUUUGUAUAUUGUUUAAAGUCACAAACUACAGGGACUUGCAAAUUAGACAUAAUAAAAAGUGUACAGUUUACCUGGAAAAAGCAGAGAAGGGAAACUUGCCUUUGUUAUUAGGGCCACUGAUGUAUAUUCUAAGAGAAGAAAUUUUAACCCAAUAGCCAACAACAAUAUCAUGGGCAUAAACAGAAGAGUUUGUUGAAUCAUUCAAAAAUUGGUAGAAAAACAAACAUGAGCUAUGCAGAAUCAAGCAACAAUUCCCAAUAUUAUGUCUUUCAGAAGGAAAAUGUUUUACUGUACAAUUAUAUUUCUGUGAGAUGUGGCAGGCAUUGGGUGGUGGGGGAGUUGCUUUGUACAAAGGGAUCAUCAAUAAAGGACUAGCUCUGUUUUCUACUUGUAUGAAAUGUGUCAAGCAACAGUUCUGAACAUUUAAAGAGGCAAUUCCUUUAAAUCAGAUAUUUGUUGACAAGUAAAGACAUGUUCACUUUACUGUAAUUAAACAUGGCACCAAAUAAGUGGUUCAUUCAUUUUGCAGAGGGGGGAGAUAAAUGUCAAAAAUGGUUUCAGAAGAUUAUGUUUAAUAUUGGGGGGGGGAGGGAAACAGAAGGUAGCAGUACCAUAUGAAGCAAUAAAACCACCACCUUGUGUUUAAAAUAGUUUGUUUUCUUGGUAUCCUGUAAUUUGUCAUGCAUCUUGUAGUUUAGUGAUUUCAUCUUUUUGUGUAGGGUUUAGAUAAAUAAGGCCAUGCCUUUUGUGUAUCUUUGUACUGUGUGAUUUAUGAUAAAUCAAUAAAGGUCUGUUUCUGUGUA